ACAAAUGAGGAGUCACAUUUCAGGCUGGGAAGGGAUUCUCCCAGUAGAGUCGGGACAAGAAAGAACCACACUGAUGGGACACAAGGGCUCUUUUCAAAGUUCCAUCUUUUCGAGCCCACCCAACGCAGACUGUCAACUCAAAACUUAAGUUUUAGGCCAAUCUAACCUUCGACCUCCACCUGAAACUGCAGAAUCAACCAGAAGUUUUUGAGUGACUUCGUUUGCUUGUGUUAAGCAAUAAUUGUUUACAAUGGGAUAAUCACGCAUGAAAUCUGUGUCAGAAGCUAUGAGUUUAACCAGCUUCUGUCUACUAUGCAAAAGUCAAUAAAUAAAAGGAAGGGUAUUGACAGUGGGGGCACUUUGGAUCCUCCUACACCCCUAAGAAACUUAAAAGUCUUAACUUUACAAGGACAAAGGGCACUUUUAUACUGGUCUUAAUCAAGCGCUAUCACCUGGAAAAUGGGUAGGGUGGGGGCUUGCAAUUAUAAUGUACACACCGAUUAGCCCGAGCAUCUGUCCCUAGGUGCUAGACCACGUAUUCGCUCGUCAUCUACCACCAUUCUCAGUCUACGCUGUCAGGUGAUAGAUAUCAUCUUUGCUUGCGAAUUUCAAAAAAAAAAAAAAGGCCAGACUCAAAUCAAUGACUCCAUCGCGGCUCUGUGCAGCCGCUAUGGGCACUCCUCUGGAAACACCGCGAGGAUUUCUACAAAUGACAACCGGUUUGAUGCUGCAUUUGACCCUCCUGCAAACGCUCCCAAGCCGAGGCAGGACUCCAGUCCAGCUCCGAUGCUUCCAAGCGUCGAGCGCACCUCAAAACCUCAGCCACGGGGGCAGAAGGGAUGCCCGUAGCCGAGAGACAACCGUCACUGGCUUCGUGGGAUCAUCCCCCGUUCAUCUGAAGCUCUGGAUCCUCCUCGCCGGAAGGACAAUAACAAUUGACAGAACUUCUGCAGGCAGUGGCAGCAACACAUGGACCAAGUAGGAACAGUAAUACCAGUGAGAGACAAAGGUGGCUGGUACCAAGGUGGUCGCAGUGAUGGUGGAGAAAGUGGAAAUAUCUGGAAUAGACUUUGCAGUAGAACCACCUCACUGUGUUCCAGGUGCCAUGAUCUGCAUUCUCCCAACCUUUGCAGAAGGUGCUCCACUGCGUGCCUUCACAGACACCAGCACUAGCCGGCGAC